rnacentral:lncRNA from 1 species
CUUUCUGGGACCGGCCCCGCGGCCAAGUGGUUAAGUUCACGCGAUCCGCAUUGGCAGCCCAGUGUUUCACCGGUUCGGAUCCUGGGCGCAGACCCAGCACCACUCACCAGGCCGUGCUGAGGUGGCGUCCCACAUGGCACACCAGAAGAAGGACCUACAACUAGAAUAUACAACUAGGUCCUGGGGGACUUUGGGGAGAAGAAGAAGGAAAAAAAAGAUUGGCAACAGAGGUUAGCUCAGGUGCCAAUCUUUACAGAAAAAAAAGAGAACAGAGUCCUUUCUGAGUAGUGGUUGUCUUCACUGGAAUAAAGCUGUUCCAGGGAACCGGAUGGCACUGUCACUCCCUCUCACUUUCCAUUGGUGAAGACCAGUCCAUGGCCUCACUUGAUGGAGAGACUAGCCAUGCGCCAGUGAAGAAGAGGAGAACAGAUAUUCACAAGCACAAUGGCCUGCACUGGCCAGAACCCGUCCUCCAAAGGAGACCAACAGGCAGGGCAGUGAAGUGGGGCAGCACUGCCACACUUCUAAAGCUAAUAUGUCCACAUUGACGAUGGAUCGGAUCAGUGAGAAAGCAAGCAGAUGUGUGCGACCUACAUUGUGCUUCUGUGAUCCACAUCAUGCAAAGAACCAGGAACCUUGCAAGGUUCUCGUGGGACCGUGCGAGUGAAAGUGUCUUGGAGACUGUCACAGGCCAUACCAAGAAUUUAGCAGAAGUAACAAUGUGUGACUUCCAAAGCCAGCCCUUGCAGCUUCCACUUUCGCCCUCUGGAACUGCUGCCCUGGGGCCACCAUGUGAGGAAGCUGCUAGCCUGCUGGAAUAGGGGAGGCCACAUGGAGGAGAAGUGAGAUCCCCAACUUGACCGCCAGCACCAGCUGCCAGACUGUCAGAGAGGCCAUCCUGAGAUGACCUUCUAGCCCAGAUUCUGUGGAUCCGGAAUUUGGACAGAGAACAGAGAGGAUGACUUAUGUCUGCGCUACAACGUCUGGGGCCUCAAUAGAAAAGACUCAAAGGCUGGGGUGACUCGACAGCUAGGGUUUAGAAUCAUGUGAAUGCUUGUUCACUCAUAUAUCUGGCAUCUGAUACAGACUAGGACUGCAGACCCACGGUCUACAUGUGGCCUCUCCGUGUGGCUUGGCUUCCCCACAGCAAGGCAGCCACAGGAUAGUCAGACUUCUUCCUUGGUUACAGAACCCAAAAGCAUUGUCCCAGCAAACAAGACAGAGCAGCAGUGGCUUUUGUGACCCAGCUUCAGAAGUGGCACAGCAUCACUUCUCUCCUACUUUACACUGGUCAAAGUAGCCUCAAGUCUGUGAGGAGGAGGGAUGAGACUCUGUCUCUUAAUGGGAAAGGAAUCAAAGAAUUUUGAGGGUAUGUUCUGUCACAUUGCCCGAGACAUAGUCUCAGCGUUGAGCUAUUCUUCCUAAGCCUGUUACCAGCUGCCUGUUGAAACAAUUGAUUGUCUCCUUAAUGUUCCUCUGUUGACCUGUGAAUGUCUUGCUGCAUCUCCCCCUACCCCUAACUAUCUGAAUUCUCAGCUGCUCCACUAUAUAUCAAGAAGUCUUCACUUGAUAUAAGAUCCUGACUCCCGAAAUGGAGUACACAGGAUCUCCCUCUGUACAGCAGGGCUUCUAAAUCUGUCAACAGCCCCUCCUCCAUGAUGGAUGGUCCAUCUCCAGUUUACAACCUGGUCCCUGUUAAUCCUCUGUAACUUCUUGUCAGGACUCCUUAAAGGGAUGAAAUAUUUUUCUGAACGUUGAAAACUCUGCAAACACACAAGAGAGGAGUUAUUAAACAAGCUCACAGUGGCUUCUUCACAAUACCAUUUGAUUGAAAAUAGUUGGACAAGGAAAAUUAAUCCCAGACUGAACUGAGGACUCAUUUUCCAAAAUGGGAAGAAAUGCUUCUCCUUCCACCAUCAAAGCCCCUCAAAAUGCCACCAAGAUUGUUGAAUAACACUGACUUGAGACAGGAAACCAAACGACUGGAAAUCCAGCUGCCCCUGGUUUAUUCAUAUUUACGCCUACAGAUUCACCCUUCGGCCUGGGCAAGCUUGACUCAAGAGAAGAGUUUCAUGCGCCUGAGCACCUAGCACCGGAUUUUAGAAGCUUCACGUUGCACUGACUGACAAGAAUUUCUGUUGGAGCAAACCUAAGGGUGUCCAUGGAAUUGUGUGAAAUAGUGGGACAGAAAGAGGCAGGGACCACAUCCCAGAGGGAGAUCAAAUGAAGCAAAACAAAGGAAGAGAAGAACUAGACCCAAACCCAGACCCCACACACAGCCUAGGACACGGCUCGGGUUGUCUGGAAGCAGUUCCCAGACAGAAACCUCAGUGUGAUGAAUCAGUUUCCUUGGACAUAGAGGGGAUAAAGAGUCUGCUGUAGAGACAGAGCAUAUUUAUUCAAGGAAUGGCUGUGAGAAUCGGGUAUGGGCAGAGGUGGGGGUGGAGUAUGUGGUGGCAAAAAGCCACCAUGAAUCCCCAGUCUAGACACUGAGCCCAUAAUGCCCAGGGAGAAGCAAACGAUCUAAAAGAGAAGGCAUGCUGGGGAGAAGCCAGUUGAGCCUGGCUCUGAAAUGACUGGUUGUGAUACCAGAGUCAGAUACUGCAGACGAGUCUUUGAAAAUCACAGAGAGGAGAAAAUAGAGAUGAUUUUAAGAUAAAUGUUAAUAGAAGCCCAAGUCUUCUCUCUUAUAAAUCAAAUUCCAUUGUAAACAAUGCCAUAAAAAAUGUCUACACCUCUAAAUAGCGAAGAUUUCCAAGUCUUAGAAGAAGGCCCCCUUAUAUGAAGCAACACAAACACAAUGAGUGUGAAAGCAACACUUAGACAACCUUGAAUUAUUCAGGACCAUCAUCAGUUAUAAAACAGUGUUGACACCUGACUGAGGACAUGCAUCCCAAGCCCAGAAAAAGAGAGAACAUCACCAUUUGGCCAGCAGUGACCUACAUGAUACAUUUUUAAAAGAUAAGACUUUUCCUCUUUUACUACCCACCAUCCCUCAA